rnacentral:tRNA from 1 species
GGGUUGAGUCACAGAUGGUUCUGGGGGAAAUUUGCAAAAUUUCUAAUAAUUAGGUUCGAUUCCUUCUUAACCUU